rnacentral:lncRNA from 1 species
GAAGAGCCCACGCUUAGUUGAAUGCUUUGCUGUCAUUGUCUUGAAAAUUUUCAGACUUUUUGAGCAUGGGGCCUGCAUUUUAUCUUGGCACUGGGCCCUACAAAUUGCCUAUCUGUUCCUCUGCAGCCUAGUUCUGAAGUAUCCUAUUGUGCCUGAAAUGCCCGGAUAAUAACCAGAGGAGACAUCGACCAACAUUGACUCCAUCUGAGCUGGGAUGCUGACACAGUGCCCAUGCUUUCUAGCCUACCACCAGAUUUAACUCAGAGGUCCUGAGCUAGAAGCUAAGCUAACCACCAAGAAGGGUGCCUCUGGUCAAGUAAGGAACUACCAACCAUUCUAAGACCUGUUGGGCGAGCUUAUCAGGUUCCCAAUUUCUCCAGAAAUGCCUGGCAGUUUCAAGGAUCGAGAUAAGCACAGCUGUAAUCUACCAUGAUCCAGAGCUUAUUCACAGAUCACAGCUGUGUAAUUUCAGUACUGCCAACCCCAGGAGGUGUGUGGACCUUCAUCAUCCUACCUUUGAACUUCCCCUUCAGGGACAGUCUCCUGACACGACCUGCAUAGAUCCAGCGAUGCCCAGCUGUGGGGCCUAUAAAUACCAGAUUUCAUUGCUGACACAAUUGCCCAUAUGUGGACAGAAUUUCAAGCCUUCUCAUUUUAGCUUUAUUCUAGCUUUCUCUUCCUGCUUUGGCAAGCCUGUUUAAGCAAGUACGCAGGACCAUGCAGACAGGUAUGGCUUUAACCUAAGAGUCUCCUUGUGCGUGUCUUCCCUUGAGUGGUACAAAUAUGCU